GUUUAAAUGACCAAUGAGCAUGGCUAUUUGGGUUGAUUGGCAGUUGCCAUUCUUUAGAAUUAUUGUUUUGAUUGACAGGCAGGCCGUUGUCAAGGAGAAGGGCGAGUCUCGCGGCGUCUCCAGGGGAAGCCCCCUCCCUGCUGCAUUACUUUCAACAGCUUCAUCACUGCGAUGGGUUAUUUAAUUUUGGUACACUUUCCCCACAAAUAUGCUUUGUUGUACUUUUGGAUGUACUUCUCCGUAUUCUGUAAGGACCUCUGCGGUUUUGGCAAAACAACAAACCACACUUCACCUGGAAAACACAGCCAGGACUCACUGUCAGAUGUCUGAAAAUGUACAGUACACGCCAGCAGGUCUCACCAUAGUCAACAUCAUUAAGGAUUUGGCUCUCUGACCUGAGAAGAGGCCCCAUAAACACACCUGACAAGGACCAGCCACUGUUGCCAGUGCACAACUGAGGACCUGACCAGCCUGCUGCCAUCUAUGAUACUAUAUAGUACCCGCGGAGCGGUCUGAAGACGUGGAGUACACUGCAGCAGGUAUCACAUGACCAAGGACUUGGACAACGUCUCUGUUUACAUCUAUAGUGUAUUACACAACUGAAGAUGUGCACAGUACGCUGCUGCCUGCAUCCUACCACCACAGAGGAUCCGAUAUGCAGAACCAGCUUCAAAAACCAUUGCAAUUAUGAAACACAGUUAAUAAAUGCUUAUAUACAGCAGCCCGCACAUUUUGUUUAAUUUGUAAUAUUGGUUAACACACUAUUGUUACAACUGUUUAGAUCGGUGUUUCCCAACCAGGGGUACAUGUACCACUAGGGGUACGUGAACACAAUGCAGGU